AUUUAUAUAUGUUUUUUUUUGUGUUUUUGAUGCAACUACUUGUGGAAGUAAGGCAGAUUUUUUUUUUCAUUUCUGAAUGUUUUAUGGUUUUGCUUGUGUUGUGAUAAUUUGGAAUUUGUUAUAGCCCGUAAUGGACAUAGAAAUAAAC